rnacentral:rRNA from 1 species
GGUGAGUAACGCGUGAGAAUCUGGCUCCAGGUCGGGGAUAACAGUUGGAAACGACUGCUAAUACCGGAUGUGCCGAGAGGUGAAAGAUUUAUUGCCUGGAGAUGAGCUCGCGUCUGAUUAGCUAGUUGGUGGUGUAAGGGACCACCAAGGCGUCGAUCAGUAGCUGGUCUGAGAGGAUGAUCAGCCACACUGGGACUGAGACACGGCCCAGACUCCUACGGGAGGCAGCAGUGGGGAAUUUUCCGCAAUGGGCGAAAGCCUGACGGAGCAAUACCGCGUGAGGGAGGAAGGCUCUUGGGUCGUAAACCUCUUUUCUCAAGGAAGAAGAAAGUGACGGUACUUGAGGAAUAAGCAUCGGCUAACUCCGUGCCAGCAGCCGCGGUAAUACGGAGGAUGCAAGCGUUAUCCGGAAUGAUUGGGCGUAAAGGGUCUGCAGGUGGAACUGAAAGUCUGCUGUUAAAGAGUUUGGCUUAACCAAAUAAAAGCGGUGGAAACUACAGAACUAGAGUGCGGUAGGGGCAAAAGGAAUUCCUGGUGUAGCGGUGAAAUGCGUAGAUAUCAGGAAGAACACCGGUGGCGAAAGCGUUUUGCUAGACCGUAACUGACACUGAGGGACGAAAGCUAGGGGAGCGAAUGGGAUUAGAUACCCCAGUAGUCCUAGCCGUAAACGAUGGAUACUAGGCGUGGCUUGUAUCGACCCGAGCCGUGCCGGAGCUAACGCGUUAAGUAUCCCGCCUGGGGAGUACGCACGCAAGUGUGAAACUCAAAGGAAUUGACGGGGGCCCGCACAAGCGGUGGAGUAUGUGGUUUAAUUCGAUGCAACGCGAAGAACCUUACCAAGACUUGACAUCCUGCGAAUCCUGGUGAAAGCUGGGAGUGCCUUAGGGAGCGCAGAGACAGGUGGUGCAUGGCUGUCGUCAGCUCGUGUCGUGAGAUGUUGGGUUAAGUCCCGCAACGAGCGCAACCCUCGUUUUUAGUUGCCAGCAUUAAGUUGGGCACUCUAGAGAGACUGCCGGUGACAAACCGGAGGAAGGUGAGGAUGACGUCAAGUCAGCAUGCCCCUUACGUCUUGGGCUACACACGUACUACAAUGCUACGGACAGAGGGCAGCAAGCCAGGGAUGGCAAGCGAAUCCAGAAACCGUAGCUCAGUUCAGAUCGAAGGCUGCAACUCGCCUUCGUGAAGGAGGAAUCGCUAGUAAUUGCAGGUCAGCAUACUGCAGUGAAUUCGUUCCCGGGCCUUGUACACACCGCCCGUCACACCAUGGAAGUUGGUCACGCCCGAAGUCAUUACCCCAACCGAAAGGAGGGGGAUGCCUAAGGUAGGACUGGUGACUGGGGUGAAGUCGUAACAAGG